GGGCCUAAAAACCCAAAUAAAAAUAAGCCCAAACUAAACCAACCCCAGUCCCAAAGCCCAAAAUCAAAUUCAAACCCUAAGCCCAACACCUAACUAUUUUCGGAGGAAAGCAAGCCCUAGCCACAGCCCUCUGCGCCGCUGCCUCCAGGUGCGGUGUCAGCGCGUCCACUGCCCGAGGCCUAGCCCCCUUUGCACCAAAACGGAAAAUUUCAUCUCCGUUGACUUCGUCCAGGCCUGCGAACGAAACAAGAAAAGACGAAAGACAGAGAAAGGACAAAAAAAAAAUAGUAACGAGAGGAAAAUAAAACAGUGGUAUCGUUUAUUCUCAGCUAUAAAAGACCGAACCAUAUGUAAACUUUUUUUUGACAGAAAUAUACACAGAAGAGUACAAAAAAAAAAAAUCAAAAAUUAAAAAAAGGUGAUCUGCGCCGCUGCCUCCAGGUGCGGUGUCAGCGCGUCCACUGCCCGAGGCCUAGCCCCCUUUGCACCAAAACGGAAAAUUUCAUCUCCGUUGACUUCGUCCAGGCCUGCAAACGAAACAAGAAAAGACGAAAGACAGAGAAAGGACAAAAAAAAAAAAUAGUAACGAGAGGAAAAUAAAACAGUGGUAUCGUUUAUUCUCAGCUAUAAAAGACCGAACCAUAUGUAAACUUUUUUUUGACAGAAAUAUACACAGAAGAGUACAAAAAAAAAAUCAAAAAUUAAAAAAAGGUGAUAUUUUGGUUUCUUUUUAUUUCCGAUUCGUUUUUUUUUAGAUAGGAAUAAUACUAAAUAGAAAGAGAAGAGGGAUUACCUCCGUUAGUCCACCGUCGCCCUCACCUGCUCUGUUGAAAUCGGAGUUGAAAGGGAGGCGCUG
rnacentral:lncRNA from 1 species